ACCGGGUUUAGUAACGCAAACCUAUCACUCAAGUGAGGGUAUUAAAAUGACGGAAAAUAUCAAAGUAUGAUCAAGGUUGAGUUUCCGAAGGGCAAAUCCCUAUCACUCAAGGGUAGAGCACUGUGAGAUUGGGCCGAAGGCAAUUCAGUUUCCAGCCCAAUCUCAGAGUCCCAAUUGACUUAUCCUGAGAUAUAAAUAUAAGGUGCCUCGGGACACUGUCCUUAAUAAUCUCCUUGUAAUUUCAGAGUCUGCUCAAUAAUGCUGGCUUAACAGAGCAGCGGCUCAUGGUGAAGUGUGUUCCCUUCCCUGGUGCUCAGCCCUCAUACUCAGUAAUAAACCCUCAUUUUU
rnacentral:SRP_RNA from 1 species